GACGAACCGUGCGAACGUUGUUCGGAAUCACUGGGCUUAAAGGGCGCGUAGGCGGGCUGCCAAGUCUGGGGUGAAAUCCCACGGCUCAACCGUGGAACUGCCUCGGAUACUGGCGGUCUCGAGGGAGGUAGGGGCAUGCGGAACUGUGGGUGGAGCGGUGAAAUGCGUUGAUAUCCACAGGAACUCCGGUGGCGAAAGCGGCGUGCUGGACCUCUUCUGACGCUGAGGCGCGAAAGCUAGGGAGCAAACGGG
rnacentral:rRNA from 1 species